CUUCUUCAAUCUGCUGGGGGCAGAUGAAGUGGAUGUGGGCGUCGAUGCCACCGGCGGUGAGGAUUUUGCCUUCGCCGGCGAUGAUUUCGGUGCCAGGGCCGAUAACGAUGGUGACAUCUGGCUGGGUGUCGGGGUUGCCGGCUUUGCCGAUGGCGGCGAUGCGGCCGUUUUGCAGGCCAACGUCGGCUUUAACGAUGCCCCACCAAUCCAGAAUCAGGGCGUUGGUGAUGACGGUGUCCAUCACGGUGUCGUCGGCGCGCUGGCUUUGGCCCAUGCCGUCACGGAUG
rfam:Marinobacter sp. BSs20148, complete genome.